rnacentral:rRNA from 1 species
UAAGGAAUAUUGGUCAAUGGACGCAAGUCUGAACCAGCCAUGCCGCGUGGAGGAUUAAGGCCCUCUGGGUUGUAAACUCCUUUUAUCUGGGAAGAAAUGUACUUUUUCUUGAGUACUUGACGGUACCAGAGGAAUAAGCACAGGCUAACUCCGUGCCAGCAGCCGCGGUAAUACGGAGGGUGCAAGCGUUAUCCGGAUUCACUGGGUUUAAAGGGUGCGUAGGUGGGCAGGUAAGUCAGUGGUGAAAUCUCCGGGCUUAACCCGGAAACUGCCGUUGAUACUAUUUCUCUUGAAUAUUGUGGAGGUAAGCGGAAUAUGUCAUGUAGCGGUGAAAUGCUUAGAUAUGACAUAGAACACCAAUUGCGAAGGCAGCUUACUACACAAUCAUUGACGCUGAGGCACGAAAGCGUGGGGAUCAAGCA